rnacentral:rRNA from 1 species
UACGUAGGGUGCAAGCGUUAAUCGGAAUUACUGGGCGUAAAGCGUGCGCAGGCGGUGAUGUAAGACAGUUGUGAAAUCCCCGGGCUCAACCUGGGAACUGCAUCUGUGACUGCAUCGCUGGAGUACGGUAGAGGGGGAUGGAAUUCCGCGUGUAGCAGUGAAAUGCGUAGAUAUGCGGAGGAACACCGAUGGCGAAGGCAAUCCCCUGGACCUGUACUGACGCUCAUGCACGAAAGCGUGGGGAGCGAACGGG